NNNNNNNNNNNNNNNNNNNNNNNNNNNNNNNNNNNNNNNNNNNNGGAUGAGCCCGAGAGGGGGUCAGGACCAGGUGUAAGUCAGGCAGGGCUGCCCAGCCUAGUCUCCCAGGGGCUGCUGGGGGAAUUAAGAGAAAGUGGCUGCCCUGCGGGAAAGGCAGCCCCCCUAACCUCCCAGGGGGCGCCCUCCCUUCCCCACUGCUUAACCCCAGCCCCAUCCAUUUGUGUGUCUUUGGCGUGGGAUGGGGAGGAGAAGGGCUGUGUGCUGGGGCAAGGGGAGGAAGAGGAGGAGGAGGAAGGUCAGGGCCUCGGAGGGGUAAAGCGGAGGCUGGGGAGGCCCCUGCAGCACCCCACAGACACCUGCUGCUUCCAAGAGGAAAGCAGGAGAACACAAGCGGGGAGCCGGGCUUCCCUGCCACCCAAGCAUCGGUCCUCCUUCCCUCGUGCCUCCGGGCAGAAGGGGUGGCUGGUUCUGCCGCUCUGGGCCCAGCGAUGAGACAGACAGGCAGACGGAAGCCUCACACAGGGCUCAGGGAUCCGGGAGAGGUCAGCCGACCACUCCAGCCUCCCUCCCUCCCUCCUCUGUCCUCUCCAACAGAAGCCAGAGGGGGGCUGAGGAGGAACCGGCAGCCCCCUUUCUUUGCCCGGAGAGGAAAGCAUUGCCUCAGGCUCCAUGCUGGAGGGGCCAAGCUCCGGGGGGAGAAAUGGAGAGUCCUGCCUUGGAGUUCCCAAAUUCAGCCUUGCACAGAGAAGCCGGCAGCCAUGACUAGAGGACGUUUGUGUGAGGAGGAGUCCGGGGUCUUGGGGGACUGCAGUGGGGCUUCCCCUAUUGAAGGUCCUAGAAAUGCUUAGAGGUGGCCAGCACCCCGCGUGCCUCACCUUGGAGGAGGCCCCUGGCAGAAUUCAUCAGCUAGAGAUGCACUGACAUGGCCAAAGGGGGGCUCUAACUUUUUGGACUCUCUCCCUCCUCUCUCCCCGUCUCUUCCUCCUUCUCUCCUCUUCCUCUCUCUCUCUGUCUCCCUUCCUCACUUCCUCUCUCUCCUCUCUUU
rnacentral:lncRNA from 1 species